CCCUUAGAUGUUCGGGGCCGCACGCGCGCUACACUGAAGGAAUCAGCACGUCUUUCUCCUUGUCCGAAAGGACUGGGUAACCCGCUGAACCUCCUUCGUGCUAGGGAUUGGGGCUUGUAAUUCUUCCCCAUGAACGAGGAAUUCCCAGUAAGCGCGAGUCAUAAGCUCGCGUUGAUUACGUCCCUGCCCUUUGUAUACACCGCCCGUCGCUACUACCGAUUGGAUGGUUUAGUGAGAUCCUCGGAUUGGUCCCGGCGCGGCCUCUGGUCGUGCCGGAGUGCCGAAAAGAAUGUCGAACUUGAUCAUCUAGAGGAAGUAAAAGUCGUAACA
rnacentral:rRNA from 1 species